rnacentral:rRNA from 1 species
GUAGGGCGCAAGCGUUGUCCGGAAUUAUUGGGCGUAAAGAGCUCGUAGGCGGCUUGUCGCGUCGGAUGUGAAAGCCCGGGGCUUAACCCCGGGUCUGCAUUCGAUACGGGCAGGCUAGAGUGUGGUAGGGGAGAUCGGAAUUCCUGGUGUAGCGGUGAAAUGCGCAGAUAUCAGGAGGAACACCGGUGGCGAAGGCGGAUCUCUGGGCCAUUACUGACGCUGAGGAGCGAAAGCGUGGGGAGCGAACAGGAUUAGAUACCCUGGUAGUCCACGCCGUAAACGUUGGGAACUAGGUGUUGGCGACAUUCCACGUCGUCGGUGCCGCAGCUAACGCAUUAAGUUCCCCGCCUGGGGAGUACGGCCGCAAGGCUAAA